rnacentral:lncRNA from 1 species
GAAGAAGAAAACAACAGUUUUUAAUAAUUUGCAAUUUUGAUUUCCUUUGACUCAGUCAUCUUCUAAUACUAGCUGUUUUCUCUUUUCUGUCCUUUAGUUGACUUCUCUAGACAUUGAAGGAGGAAGCACUAUUGUUCCCAAAGCAGCAGCCCUGAUUCAAGGACAGAGCACAACUCCAUCACCACCUGACAUUUCAAUAAGCCUUAGCAUGCUUCCAACAUUCUAAUAACAUUCAAAUCAUGGGGAAAUGUCCUACUUUAAAUUGCAAAAUCUGUCAGAAAAGCUCAAUGUUGGGGUGAGCCACAGUCAGCUCAAAAAUCUUUCUUUCCCUCAUUUCAUUUUUUUUACAUUUUAAAAAAAAUCCAUUAGAGGAUGGAUCUAUAUUCCAGGUUGUUUAUAAAAAUAUGUAGUGUAUUUACUAAAAUACAAUUAGCUAGAUCUUUAUGAUUGAACUCACAGACUAUUAUUAGUAUACUAUAUACUAGAGCAUUAUUUUAGUCAGCUUUUUUGCUACUGUGGCUUAAAAACCCAACCAGCACAAUUGUAGGAGAAGAAGAGUUUAUUUGAGAGCUCAAAGUUUCAGAGGUCUUAAUCCAUAGAAGGUUCCAGAUGAGGCUGAACAUCAUGGCAGAGUGUGUGGCAGAGGGAAGCAGCUCACAUCAUGGUGAUCAAGAAGCAGAGAGAGAGAGAGACUCUGCUCACCAGAUACAAAUAUAUACCCCAAAGCCAUACCCAUGCCCUAAUUCCCACAUCCUCUAGCCACACUCUACCACUUCAGUUAAUCCCAUCAAAGAUUAAUUCACUGAUGAGUCUAAGGCUAUAACCCAAUGAUUUUUCCCCCAAACGUUCUUGCAUUGAAUUACACAUGAGCUUUCUGUAGACGCCAUAUUUAAAACAUAACACAUGUACCUACAUGAAAGACCAGGCAGUGUCUUCAGCAAUUUUACUUCAUUCUUCUCUUGGCAGUCAAAGCACAUUUGAUAAAACUUAGGGAAAUUCUGUACUAGGUGAAACUUUAGACUGGCUGGAACAUUUUGCAAAAGAAGAUUAUUAAUAGCUCAGUUACUGGGGGGAAAAGAGGAGAAAACAGUGUCUGGUAAGCUUUGGACAGUGACUGUAAUUUUCAUAUGACAAGAGGCUGGAUGGCUAAUUAUUAUCCAGGAGGAAUCAUUAAAAUAUUAGCUCAUGAAGUAUAAUUAUAGAGAACAAGCCUAUACAAAACUGCCUAUUUUUCUACAAAUUAAGACCUGAAAUUUACUUUUCUUCAUUAUUACCACUAUUAUUUUUACUAGAAUGAUAAGAUGACAUUACAUAACUAGGCUGAGUUCCUUUCCUUCUAGAUGUGGUCUGGUACUCUCUUUCAUGGAGGGAAUAACACCUGCACCCCAAACAGAAUAAUGCAAUCAUUAUCUUCAACCUUCACAAUUACCAGAAUAUUAGAAAUUUCAGCAUUGAGUUUAUUCUGGGGCCUGUCCUACAGAUAUCCACAUUAAAAGAUUAUUGUAUAAGUUUAUUAGAAUCCUAUGAAAAAGAGAUGAGUUUGAAACCCACAUAUACCUUAUGAAACUAUGAUGGAAUGGAUAAAUUUAUUCAAUUUUUCAACUUUUGAAAAUCUAGUAAAGAUGACUUUAAAUAUAGUGGAAUAAAGCAAAUAAUUACUAGGGGAUAAAUAAGGUCAGUGAAAAUAACAUCCACCUCUGGAUCAUGAGUCAAAGGUUUAAAUAUCCCUUGAACAGAUGACCCCUGCUACUUUUUAAAUCCAUGCUUAUUGAAGCAUAAUUUAUAUUCAGUAGCUACCCUUCAACUGAUGAAUGUAUAAAGAAAAUGUGGGGUGUGUGUGUGUGUGUGUGUGUGUGUGUGUAUGUAUGUAUGUAUGUAUUAGGGGGUACUUAUCCAUAAAGAAGAAUGACUUUAUGACAUUUGCCAGCAAAUGGAAGGAUCUGGAGACUAUAAUGUUAAGUGAAAUAAACCAGCCCCUAAAAGCCAAAGGUUGAAUGUUUUAUCUGAUAUAUGGAAGCUUACCCACAAUAAGGAGGUGGGAUGAGGGGAAGAAUAGAAGUUCAGUAGAUUAGACAAUGGGGAAUAGAGGGAAGUGGAGGAUAGGAAAAGGAUAGACAGAAUGAAUCUGACAUAAUUUUCCAUGUACAUGUAUGAAAACAACACCAUGAAUCCCACCAUCAUGUACAUCCAUAUGAAUGGAAUCCUAAAACUAGAAUACGAUAUAUUCCAUUGUUGCGUAAAUACAUCAAAAUGGAUUCUGCUGUCCUGUAUAACUAAAAACCAAUAAAUUUUAAAAAAAUUUAAUUGCCCUUUUUAGUGUAUGAGUUUCUACACUGCUACCAUUGUACGACCAAGAGAGAAAACAUUUUCAUCACUUCAAAACGCUCUCAUGUCUCUUCAGUCAUGUUAGACUAAAAUAACAAUGUGCAAGUUGUAGUUCCCUCUGAUCCAGUCCUCCCUGUAGUCUAGCUAAUAUCAGCAGCU